UACGUAGGGUGCGAGCGUUGUCCGGAAUUAUUGGGCGUAAAGAGCUCGUAGGCGGUGUGUCACGUCGGCCGUGAAAACCUGCAGCUUAACUGUGGGCGUGCGGUCGAUACGGGCAUCACUGGAGUUCGGCAGGGGAGACUGGAAUUCCUGGUGUAGCGGUGAAAUGCGCAGAUAUCAGGAGGAACACCGGUGGCGAAGGCGGCUCACUGGCUCGUAACUGACGCUCAUGCACGACAGCGUGGGGAUCAAACAGG
rnacentral:rRNA from 1 species